rnacentral:rRNA from 1 species
UAUCACUAAGCGGAGGAAAAGAAACUAACCAGGAUUCCCUCAGUAACGGCGAGUGAAGAGGGAAAAGCCCAGCACCGAAGCCUGUAGUUGUUUGACUGCAAGGCAAUGUGGUGUUUAGGUCGUUUCGCAGAGGUACCGCUUUACCCCAAGUCCAGCAAUGAGUAUGGUAAGUCGGACUAGGCCCAAAGAGGGUGAAAGGCCCGUGGGGGUAAAGGACAAAUGAGCCGGUAUUUCUCUGGGUCGACCUUGGAGUCGGGUUGUUUGUGAAUGCAGCCCAAAGUGGGUGGUAAACUCCAUCCAAGGCUAAAUACGUACACGAGUCCGACAGCAAACAAGUACCGUGAGGGAAAGUUGAAAAGUACUUUGAAGAUAUAUUAAACAGUGCGUGAAACCGCUCAAAGGUAAGCGGGUAGAGUUGAACUGCAAGCCCUGAGAAUUCAGCCAGUGAGCGUGAUUUGGACCUGGACAUAUUGGUCGACUGUCAGAGUUUACCAGAUUGGUAAGUCCGGCAACUUGUUGUCGGGUGUGCGUUUCGCUUGUCAUGAGUUACACACUCUGUUCAGUUUGCAGGCCUGUUUGCUGGUGCACUUUCUCAGGGUCAACACCACGACCAGCGUGUCUGCUCGUCUACUGUGGUUAAACCGUUCAGUCAAGGUUCAUGUAACUUUGGUUGAACGGGAUGGCAGGUAGCUUGUUGACUUGCAUUGAUUUCGAUCAGUGUGUCUUAGUCUUCAAGUGUUAUAGCUGACCAUAGUAGUUUUGUAUACGGUGCGACAUGUUGGAGGCUGCGGCUUGUAGUGUGUGCAUGCGUGUCAUGGAUUCCAACUGACAUUGUCUGAGCCUGAUCAUUGUGUUCGCUUGUCAACGCAAGCCCUUGUGGUGGCUCGGAUAUGUUCGGUAGGCGACUGCGUGUGUGACAUGUGACAGGGCCUAAAGUUCAGAGGAGAGGAGGAAGACGUCAU